rnacentral:rRNA from 1 species
UCCUACGGGGGGCAGCAGUGGGGAAUCUUCCGCAAUGGGCGAAAGCCUGACGGAGCAACGCCGCGUGAGUGAUGAAGGCCUUCGGGUUGUAAAACUCUGUCUUCAGGGAAGAAAAAAAUGACGGUACCUGAGGAGGAAGCCACGGCUAACUACGUGCCAGCAGCCGCGGUAAUACGUAGGUGGCAAGCGUUGUCCGGAAUUACUGGGCGUAAAGCGCGCGUAGGCGGGUAUUUAAGUCAGGAGUGAAAACUAUCGGCUCAACCGGUAGCCUGCUCUUGAAACUGGAUACCUUGAGGGUAUGAGAGGAAAGCGGAAUUCCCAGUGUAGCGGUGAAAUGCGUAGAUAUUGGGAGGAACACCAGUGGCGAAGGCGGCUUUCUGGCAUACAACUGACGCUGAGGUGCGAAAGCGUGGGGAGCAAACGGGAUUAGAUACCCCGGUAGUCCG